rnacentral:lncRNA from 1 species
UUGCUCAUUGUGCCUCUCUUGAAAAACAUCUUCUACUCCAUUCUUGAAGAGAUCCAAGGCAAAUCAAUUGAAGAUCCAAGAUAAUAUUCUUCUUCUACAUCUUCUUCAAGAGAUCCAAGACAAUAUUGAUUGAAGAUUUUAUCUAUGCAAUUCUUGUGAUCCGGCAACCAUUUCUUGGGAAAACAUCAAACAUUCUUGAAGACAAACACCUGGCUUCCUCAACUGAUUGAAGGAAGGAACUCUCUCUUUGGUGGAUUGAGAGAGUGGUGCAAGGUGCAGUUACAAGCACAAGAACAGGAGGUUCUUGGCGUUCCACUUGUGAGGAUAUUCAGUACAAGAUCAGAAGACUGUAGGAGACAGCAGAUUGGGCUGCAGGAGGUGGA